rnacentral:misc_RNA from 1 species
AAGUCGUAACAAGGUUUCCGUAGGUGAACCUGCGGAAGGAUCAUUAAAGAAUUCGGCUUCGCGGCCAAGUUCUCACCCUUUGUAUACCGAAACCAUGUUGCUUUGGCAGGCCUGUCAUUGCUCGGCCUGCAGUGUUAACAACCUAGAAUCUCUGCUGUCUGAGUACUAUACAAUAGUUAAAA